rnacentral:rRNA from 1 species
UACGGAGGGUGCAAGCGUUGUUCGGAAUUACUGGGCGUAAAGGGCGCGUAGGCGGUUUAAUAAGUCAGAUGUGAAAGCCCACGGCUUAACUGUGGAAGUGCAUUUGAAACUGUUAGACUUGAGUAUCAGAGGGGAAAGUGGAAUUCCCGGUGUAGAGGUGAAAUUCGUAGAUAUCGGGAGGAAUACCGGUGGCGAAGGCGACUUUCUGGCUGAAUACUGACGCUGAGGCGCGAAAGCGUGGGGAG